GGGGAUUUAGCUCAGUGGUAGAGCACUUGCCUAGCAGGUGCAAGGCCCUGGGUUCAGUCCCCA
rnacentral:tRNA from 1 species